UUAGUUAGUUAGAAAAACCAAAGUAUGAAUACACCUGCUGUAUUCAUUUUCCUCUUAAUGAAGAUAUUAGAGAAUUUUCAAAAUGGCUCAUCUUCUCUCAAAUCUUCCCCAAUAUCUCAUAAUGUGUCAGAGCAGAAACUAGGAUUCUUGGACCUCACCUUUUGGAGAGUGCUGGGGUUGCUAAGGUAUCUUCUGGGCUAUAUUUCAUGCAAGAUAAACAAGAUUAUCAAUAUCUGUCCAAAUUUAGCAUUAACAAAAUUAUAAAUUUUCUUUUUACAGUUUUUGCUAAUGGUUGUAAAAUAGUUCAAAAUCAGUUUGAGUUGUGGCAUUUUAAGCUUAGACAGGUACCUUUAAGUAGAAUAAGUGUAUUACAUCAACAAUAUCCUGAAAUUCAUUGUUCAAAUGAUUUGAUAUGUGAUGUAUGUUUUUUGACAAAACAGAAAAAAUUACCUUUUCUUGUUCAUGUCAAAACACAAGUUCUACUUUUGACAUUUUACAUUCUGAUAUCUAAGGGCCAUAUAGAAUUCCAACUUUUGAUGGUCA